rnacentral:rRNA from 1 species
GAUGAACGCUGGCGGCGUGCCUAAUACAUGCAAGUCGAGCGAACAGACGAGGAGCUUGCUCCUCUGACGUUAGCGGCGGACGGGUGAGUAACACGUGGAUAACCUACCUAUAAGACUGGGAUAACUUCGGGAAACCGGAGCUAAUACCGGAUAAUAUAUUGAACCGCAUGGUUCAAUAGUGAAAGACGGUUUUGCUGUCACUUAUAGAUGGAUCCGCGCCGCAUUAGCUAGUUGGUAAGGUAACGCCUUACCAAGGCAACGAUGCGUAGCCGACCUGAGAGGGUGAUCGGCCACACUGGAACUGAGACACGGUCCAGACUCCUACGGGAGGCAGCAGUAGGGAAUCUUCCGCAAUGGGCGAAAGCCUGACGGAGCAACGCCGCGUGAGUGAUGAAGGUCUUCGGAUCGUAAAACUCUGUUAUUAGGGAAGAACAAAUGUGUAAGUAACUAUGCACGUCUUGACGGUACCUAAUCAGAAAGCCACGGCUAACUACGUG